UACGGAGGGUGCAAGCGUUAUCCGGAUUCACUGGGUUUAAAAGGGUGCGUAGGUGGGCAGUUAAGUCAGUGGUGAAAUCUCCGGGCUCAACCCGGAAACUGCCAUUGAUACUAUCUGUCUUGAAUAUCGUGGAGGUAAGCGGAAUAUGUCAUGUAGCGGUGAAAUGCUUAGAUAUGACAUAGAACACCAAUUGCGAAGGCAGCUUACUACCCGAAUAUUGACACUGAGGCACGAAAGCGUGGGGAGCAAACAGG
rnacentral:rRNA from 1 species